AAGCCUGAUGCAGCAACGCCGCGUGAACGAUGAAGGUCUUCGGAUCGUAAAGUUCUGUUGCCGGGGAAGAUAAUGACGGUACCCUGUGAGGAAGCCCCGGCUAACUACGUGCCAGCAGCCGCGGUAAUACGUAGGGGGCUAGCGUUAUCCGGAUUUACUGGGCGUAAAGGGUGCGUAGGUGGUCCUUCAAGUCGGUGGUUAAAGGCUACGGCUCAACCGUAGUAAGCCGCCGAAACUGGAGGACUUGAGUGCAGGAGAGGAAAGUGGAAUUCCCAGUGUAGCGGUGAAAUGCGUAGAUAUUGGGAGGAACACCAGUAGCGAAGGCGGCUUUCUGGACUGCAACUGACACUGAGGCACGAAAGCGUGGGUAGCAAACAGGAUUAGAUACCCUGGUAGUCCACGCUGUAAACGAUGAGUACUAGGUGUCGGGGGUUACCCCCCUCGGUGCCGCAGCUAACGCAUUAAGUACUCCGCCUGGGGAGUACGCACGCAAGUGUGAAACUCAAAGGAAUUGACGGGGACCCGCACAAGUAGCGGAGCAUGUGGUUUAAUUCGAAGCA
rnacentral:rRNA from 1 species